rnacentral:tRNA from 1 species
CGGGGCGUAGCGCAGCCCGGUAGCGCACCUGCUUUGGGAGCAGGGGGUCCCAGGUUCGAAUCCUGGUGCCCCGACAA